rfam:Danio rerio chromosome 4, GRCz11 reference primary assembly.
GCAUUGGUGAUUCACUGGUAGAAUUCUCGCCUGCCACGUGGGAGACACGGGUUUGAUUCCUGGCCAAUGCA